GCUUUCAGCUUCUGCUCUCGUCUGGUGCUUCUUUUUCACUCGUAUUUGAAAUUGUUAUGCCAAAACCAGAGAUUUGUUCAGAGUGUGGAUAGAUUAGUAAGAUAGUUAGAAAAAUGAAGUGUGAUUUUGUGGUCUGGGAAGAAAUGGAAACCUUGCUGUUCUUUCCCACUAGAGGUCUCUGCAGAUAACGCUGAGAAACCUGAAAAUUCUCUGCCACGGGCAGGGCUGCUGAUGUCGCUGUUUCUGCGCAGACAACUGCUUGCAACACAGAUGCUGUACAGACACUUUAUAGUCAUAACUGACUACUUACAAUUCCUCCUGCCCUCCAGAAGAAGAAGAGAAGGGAGAGAAAAAAAAAGAAAAAGAAGAAAGGAAAAGGAAAACCUGAUAUCUCCGGAAAGGAAAAUGCUAAUGAUAUUACCUCCUGGUGGAACAUAUACCACCUUGUUACACAUGCAUGAGCUGCUUGUGACAGACACUAGGAUUUAUGAUCAGUGAGCACUAAUGCAAUUCAGGACUUGGGAGUUGUAGAACAACAUGAGAGGAUAAUGAAGUGGAUUUAAAAAGUCUCUAUGAUAAACAACCCAAUCUCCUAAUACUGUGAGGAGGAAUGCAAAAAAUCCAGGCUGGGAGGAGCACAGCUGGGACACGAGACCUGAAUUGACCAAAUGGACCCCGCACCGUGGAACUUCAUGCCUGGUGUACAAACUGGGGGAAUUACCAGAAGCAUGGAUGAUCUGGGUUUGGGAAGGGGGGUCUGCCAUUGGUCAGUGGGUAGUGAGCAAUUGUGUUGUGCAUCACUUGUUUUGAUUUUUCUUCCUUUUUAUUAUCAUCAUUAUUAUUGUUUACCGUUAUCAGUGUACUGAACUUUAUUUUCAGUUAUUAAACUAUUCCUAUAUCAACACACAAAUUUUACUUCAAUUCCUCUCCACAUUCCACUGGAGAGAGGGAAAAACAUAGGGGUUUGUGCAAGCAUCUGCUGCCUGUGUUUCAUCUCCAGCUGGGCUUAAAACCUCGACACCUGUUUAUCCAGUGAUAACAUGUAAAGCUUCUGCAGCUCAAUAAACACAGCUCUUGAGAACAUGGCUUUGAACUCUCCAGGCACUUCAACAAAGUCUUUCACCUGCUAAUUCUACCAAUGGCUUGAUGAUUAAACAUUUGCUUCCUAUGCUGGUUAUUACAGUCUCACAGGUAUAAAAACUGCAGGUGGCAUGACAGCUUUCCUCUCAAGAUUUAAA